CAUGGAUGACAUCUACAAGGCUGCGAGCAGCUGACAGAAGAGCAGAAAAAGAGUUCAAGGCAGCCUUCGACAUCUUCGUGCUGGGCGCUGAGGAUGGCUGCAUCAGCACCAAGGAGCUGGGCAAGGUGAUGAGGAUGCUGGGCCAGAACCCCACCCCUGAGGAGCUGCAGGAGAUGAUCGAUGAGGUGGACGAGGACGGCAGCGGCACGGUGGACUUUGAUGAGUUCCUGGUCAUGAUGGUUCGGUGCAUGAAGGACGACAGCAAAGGGAAAUCUGAGGAGGAGCUGUCUGACCUCUUCCGCAUGUUUGACAAAAAUGCUGAUGGCUACAUCGACCUGGAUGAGCUGAAGAUAAUGCUGCAGGCUACAGGCGAGACCAUCACGGAGGACGACAUCGAGGAGCUCAUGAAGGACGGAGACAAGAACAACGACGGCCGCAUCGACUAUGAUGAGUUCCUGGAGUUCAUGAAGGGUGUGGAGUAGAUGCUGACCUUCACCCAGAGCUGCCUAUGCCCAGCCUCCAACUCCAGCUGAGUCCUGGGGUUGGGGAGGGGGUCGGGGUCCCAGGACCUGAGCCUGGCCAUGUCCUCAACCCCAAAUCCCCCGACUCCCUCCCCAGAUCUGUCCUGGGGGAUGCAAAUAAAGCCUGCUCUCCC
rnacentral:lncRNA from 1 species